UACGGGGGGAGCAAGCGUUGUUCGGAUUUACUGGGCGUAAAGAGCGUGUAGGCGGCCAGGUAGGUCUGCUGUGAAAACUCGAGGCUUAACCUCGAGCUGUCGGCGGAAACCAUCUGGCUAGAGUCCGGAAGAGGAGAAUGGAAUUCCCGGUGUAGCGGUGAAAUGCGCAGAUAUCGGGAAGAACACCCGUGGCGAAGGCGGAUCUCUGGGCCGAUACUGACGCUGAGGAGCGAAAGCGUGGGGAGCGAACAGG
rnacentral:rRNA from 1 species